rnacentral:rRNA from 1 species
GUGAGGAAUUUUCCGCAAUGGGCGAAAGCCUGACGGAGCAAUGCCGCGUGAAGGAUGAAGGCCUAUGGGUUGUAAAGCUCUUUUACCAGGGAUGAUAAUGACAGUACCUGGAGAAUAAGCUCCGGCUAACUCCGUGCCAGCAGCCGCGGUAAUACGGAGGGAGCUAGCGUUGUUCGGAAUUACUGGGCGUAAAGCGCACGUAGGCGGUUACUCAAGUCAGAGGUGAAAGCCCGGGGCUCAACCCCGGAACUGCCUUUGAAACUAGGUAACUAGAAUCUUGGAGAGGUCAGUGGAAUUCCGAGUGUAGAGGUGAAAUUCGUAGAUAUUCGGAAGAACACCAGUGGCGAAGGCGACUGACUGGACAAGUAUUGACGCUGAGGUGCGAAAGCGUGGGGAGCAAACAGGAUUAGAUACCCGUGUAGUCC